rnacentral:rRNA from 1 species
UACGGAGGAUGCGAGCGUUAUCCGGAUUUAUUGGGUUUAAAGGGUGCGUAGGCGGCGAGUUAAGUCAGCGGUAAAAGCCCGGGGCUCAACCCCGGCCCGCCGUUGAAACUGGCUGUCUUGAGAUGUCGAGAGGUAUGCGGAAUGCGCAGUGUAGCGGUGAAAUGCUUAGAUAUUGCGCAGAACUCCGAUUGCGAAGGCAGCCUGCCGGCCCCACACUGACGCUGAGGCACGAAAGCGUGGGUAUCGAACAGG